rnacentral:rRNA from 1 species
UUGAAAGGGAAACGAUUGAAGUCAGUCGUGCAGUCAUCAACUCAACCUUAAUAUAAGUUUUUUCUUAUAUUAUUGUGUAAUUUGGUGUUUGCUGGUCAGCAUCAAUUUCGAUUGUCAUAAAAAGGUUGGGGGGAUGUAGCUCCUUCGGGAGUGUUAUAACCCUUGGCGUAAUGUGGCGAUUGGGAUUGAGGUUUGCAAUGAAUACCUUUAGGGCAGUUCCACCUGAUCUCUUAUUGGCGUCCAGAUGAUGACAGCUUGCUGACUUUGUUUGGAUUUGUUAAUAAAUAGGUUAGAUUGUGAAUGAAUUCGUUAAGGAUGUUGACGUA